rnacentral:rRNA from 1 species
UACGAAGGGGGCUAGCGUUGCUCGGAAUCACUGGGCGUAAAGCGCACGUAGGCGGGUUCUUAAGUCAGGGGUGAAAUCCUGGAGCUCAACUCCAGAACUGCCUUUGAUACUGGGAAUCUCGAGUCCGGGAGAGGUGAGUGGAACUGCGAGUGUAGAGGUGAAAUUCGUAGAUAUUCGCAAGAACACCGGUGGCGAAGGCGGCGACCUGGUCCUUGACUGACGCUGAGGCGCGAAAGCGUGGGGAGCAAACAGG